AUUUUUUUUUUAAAUUAAAAAUGUAAAAUGGUAAUCUUACAUAUGUUUAAUGUAGUUUUUCUAUUUUUUAUGUUGUAUGUUUACAUAUUUUUUUUUUAAAUUAAAAAUGUAAAAUGGUAAUCUUACAUAUGUUUAAUGUAGUUUUUCUAUUUUUUAUGUUGUAUGUUUACAUAUUUUUUUUUUAAAUUAAAAAUGUAAAAUGGUAAUCUUACAUAUGUUUAAUGUAGUUUUUCUAUUUUUUAUGUUGUAUGUUUACAUAUUUUUUUUUUAAAUUAAAAAUGUAAAAUGGUAAUCUUACAUAUGUUUAAUGUAGUUUUUCUAUUUUUUAUGUUGUAUGUUUACAUAUUUUUUUUUUAAAUUAAAAAUGUAAAAUGGUAAUCUUACAUAUGUUUAAUGUAGUUUUUCUAUUUUUAUGAUGUAUGUUUACAUAUUAUUUAUAAUUUACGAAAAUUAGUAAUAUUAAAGUAUAAAACUAUCUUUUAUGCUACGUGUCAUCUUUUGGGAGAAGU
rnacentral:lncRNA from 1 species